AGCUUUAUGCAGUGGCAGUAUCUUAGCCAAUAAGGUUUGUCUGAAGUACGAGAUUAUUGCUAAUCGAAAACUUUUCCUAAUACCCUGUCAUGAUGACUCACAAUAGAGUCUGCGUUUGUAAUUUGUUUCCUUUUUUAAUGUAU
rnacentral:snRNA from 13 species